CCUGGCUCAGGACGAACGCUGGCGGCGUGCCUAAUACAUGCAAGUCGAGCGCGGGAAGCGAGUGGAUCCCUUCGGGGUGAAGCUCGUGGAACGAGCGGCGGACGGGUGAGUAACACGUGGGCAACCUGCCUGUAAGAUCGGAAUAACCCCGGGAAACCGGGGCUAAUGCCGGGUAAUACUUUCUUUCGCAUGAAGGAAAGUUGAAAGAUGGCUUCUCGCUAUCACUUACAGAUGGGCCCGCGGCGCAUUAGCUAGUUGGUGAGGUAACGGCUCACCAAGGCGACGAUGCGUAGCCGACCUGAGAGGGUGAUCGGCCACACUGGGACUGAGACACGGCCCAGACUCCUACGGGAGGCAGCAGUAGGGAAUCUUCCGCAAUGGACGAAAGUCUGACGGAGCAACGCCGCGUGAACGAUGAAGGUCUUCGGAUCGUAAAGUUCUGUUGUUAGGGAAGAACAAGUACCGUGCGAAUAGAGCGGUACCUUGACG
rnacentral:rRNA from 1 species